UUUUAUUUGAGAGUUUGAUCCUGGCUCAGGAUGAACGCUGGCGGCGUGCCUAACACAUGCAAGUUGAGCGAUUUAUUUCGGUAAAGAGCGGCGGACGGGUGAGUAACGCGUGGGUAACCUACCCUGUACACACGGAUAACAUACCGAAAGGUAUGCUAAUACGGGAUAAUAUAUUUGAGAGGCAUCUCUUAAAUAUCAAAGGUGAGCCAGUACAGGAUGGACCCGCGUCUGAUUAGCUAGUUGGUAAGGUAACGGCUUACCAAGGCGACGAUCAGUAGCCGACCUGAGAGGGUGAUCGGCCACAUUGGAACUGAGACACGGUCCAAACUCCUACGGGAGGCAGCAGUGGGGAAUAUUGCACAAUGGGCGAAAGCCUGAUGCAGCAACGCCGCGUGAGUGAUGAAGGCCUUCGGGUCGUAAAACUCUGUCCUCAAGGAAGAUAAUGACGGUACUUGAGGAGGAAGCCCCGGC
rnacentral:rRNA from 1 species